UGCAGUCGAACGAGAAAAAUUCCUUCGGGGAUUUAGUAAAGUGGCGCAAGGGUGAGUAACACGUGAAUAAUCUGCCCUCGAGAUCGGGAUAACAUGGUGAAAACUAUGCUAAUACCGGAUAAGACCACAUUUCAAAAGAAAUGCGGGAAAAGGAGUCUCAACCUUCACUCGAGGAUGAGUUCGCGCAACAUUAGCUUGUUGGUGAGAUAAAAGCUCACCAAGGCUACGAUGUUUAGCCGGCCUGAGAGGGUGAUCGGCCACACUGGAACUGAGACACGGUCCAGACUCCUACGGGAGGCAGCAGUGGGGAAUAUUGCGCAAUGGGCGAAAGCCUGACGCAGCAACGCCGUGUGAGCGAUGAAGGCUUUAGGGUUGUAAAGCUCUGUCAAAUGGGAAGAAUUAUGACGGUACCAUUAGAGGAAGCCCCGGCUAACUCCGUGCCAGCAGCCGCGGUAAUACGGAGGGGGCAAGCGUUGUUCGGAAUUAUUGGGCGUAAAGCGUAUGUAGGCGGCAAAGUAAGUCAGGCGUGCAAGCCCGUGGCUCAACCACGGAAUUGCGUUUGAAACUACUUAGCUUGAGUACAGGAGAGGAAAGCGGAAUUCCCAGUGUAGCGGUGAAAUGCAUUGAUAUUGGGAAGGACAUCUGUGGCGAAGGCGGCUUUCUGGUCUGUUACUGACGCUGA
rnacentral:rRNA from 1 species